UGGGGAAUUUUCCGCAAUGGGCGAAAGCCUGACGGAGCAAUGCCGCGUGGAGGUGGAAGGCCUACGGGUCGUCAACCUCUUUUCUCGGAGAAGAAACAAUGACGGUAUCUGAGGAAUAAGCAUCGGCUAACUCUGUGUCAG
rnacentral:rRNA from 1 species